GACAAACUAGCAAGAACUAUCAGCUGCUUCCCCUCCAGAUAAUCCUUGGGGAAACUGGUGAAGCAAGAAGGGAGCGUGGAUCUAAAGAACCAACAACAGAACUAAAACUCAAACAUAAGUCUAAGGAUGGUCUGUCUACCAUGAGCUCAUCUAAUCCACUCCAACGAGCAAAGAAAAAACACUGCUGUGUGUUUUUUCCAUCCAGCUCAGGAGAGAUGAUUCAUGCAUUGAUCAAGAAAGAAACAACCAUCCAUCAAGGUAAGAGCCUUUGGCUGCCCCAAACAUCAGCAAACCCAGCCAGCAUGCUCCCUACCUUAAAGUAC